GACGUAGGGUGCUAGCGUUGUUCGGAAUUACUGGGCGUAAAGGGCGCGUAGGCGGCUACGGCAGUCGGGUGUGAAAGCCCGGGGCUCAACCCCGGAACGGCAUCCGAUACUCUGUGGCUAGAGACCGGAAGAGGUGGGUGGAAUACCCAGUGUAGAGGUGAAAUUCGUAGAUAUUGGGUGGAACACCGGUGGCGAAGGCGGGUCUCUGGGCCGAUACUGACGCUGAGGAGCGAAAGCGUGGGGAGCGAACAGG
rnacentral:rRNA from 1 species